rnacentral:sRNA from 1 species
GUUGCCAAUUCCAUAGUACUUGGCCGGAUCUGGUAGUUCGAAGCCCUGGCUGAAAUUGGCGUAGACCUGCUGCGUAUUCGUCAACUGGUAGGUUGCGCCUGCACUGAACAAAGCGGCGUCGUAAUUGACUUCGCCGCCAGGUAUGGUGUCGGCAGACGUUGCUCUGCCCUGCAGGAUGGCGACCUGCUG